UCCCUGGUGGUCUAGUGGCUAGGAUUCGGCGCUUUCACCGCCGCGCCCCGGGUUCGAUUCCCGGUCAGGGAA
rnacentral:tRNA from 1 species